AACCACAGGCAGCAGGAGCAAACGUGCCUCCUGCGUGGGGCUGCACGUGCUCUGCCAAACACAGCCCUGCCGCCCGGCCUGCGGCUGGGGUCACUGUCCUCACAGCUGGCAGAGCUGCUCUCCCUGCCUGCAGCAGCUGGGGCAGAUGUGCAGGCAUAGCUGGAACAGGAGGAAGCACAGGGAGCUCUUCACCACUCCAGACAGUGUGUAUGGGAACUGCAUGGAGACAUCUGUGGAUGUGCAGAGCUAUCAGCUGGCUCCUUGCCUGGAAGUUGUUGUCGCUGCUGAGAAAGGAGGUAGCACAGCCCCAGGCAGAGUGCUCGGAGAGGACACAGCUGCUUGGCCAUCCCGUGGCAUCCCUGCUCCAGCCUCGUGUCCCCCUGGGUGCGUGCUGCCCCUGGGACUGGCUACGUGCGCUUCUCCAUGGCGGGGCUGGACGCCCUGACCAGGCAAGAGGCCGGUGAGACCGUGGUGAUGGCUCUGACAGAUGGGUUUCAUUGAGGACACAUGUCUGCCUUGCAGCUUGUUUUUAUUUCCUUUGGAGAGAAGGAGGAGCCAUGGGAGAGGAGUAACUGAGUGGCUGAGCCGGCUCUCCUGGACACAGAGUGCAGUGCCAAACGAGCUCUUGCUGCGGUUUCUGCUGCGGCUCUGGAGGCUGCAGCCCAAGGGGCGGGAAGUGGUUGAGAAGGAGCUUCAGCUGGUGUGCCAACAGUGCAGGAUCGAUCCCGGAUGGGAGAGAGACAGAAUCAUAAGGGGAAGGCUCUGAUGGGUCAUGGGAUGAGGGGGAUGUUUGGAUCUUUGCCAGCAUAGGACCUCCUGCAGCAGCUCCAGUGGAAGGCACUGGUCAUCAGGAACUUCCUUCCAGAGCUGAGGUCCUACAGGAGCCAACACCCUGCAUCAGUGGUCACCAGCCUCUCCACCUUGGGGCACAAGUGGCUCCAGGUGGCCUCCAAGAGCUGCUUUGGCCUGGGGGAUCCAAGGGAAUAAAGAGCUGCUUUUGAGAUGUGGUCA
rnacentral:lncRNA from 1 species